UCCGGAGCUAACGCGUUAAGUCGACCGCCUGGGGAGUACGGCCGCAAGGUUAAAACUCAAAUGAAUUGACGGGGGCCCGCACAAGCGGUGGAGCAUGUGGUUUAAUUCGAUGCAACGCGAAGAACCUUACCUGGUCUUGACAUCCACGGAAGUUUUCAGAGAUGAGAAUGUGCCUUCGGGAACCGUGAGACAGGUGCUGCAUGGCUGUCGUCAGCUCGUGUUGUGAAAUGUUGGGUUAAGUCCCGCAACGAGCGCAACCCUUAUCCUUUGUUGCCAGCGGUCCGGCCGGGAACUCAAAGGAGACUGCCAGUGAUAAACUGGAGGAAGGUGGGGAUGACGUCAAGUCAUCAUGGCCCUUACGACCAGGGCUACACACGUGCUACAAUGGCGCAUACAAAGAGAAGCGACCUCGCGAGAGCAAGCGGACCUCAUAAAGUGCGUCGUAGUCCGGAUUGGAGUCUGCAACUCGACUCCAUGAAGUCGGAAUCGCUAGUAAUCGUGGAUCAGAAUGCCACGGUGAAUACGUUCCCGGGCCUUGUACACACCGCCCGUCACACCAUGGGAGUGGGUUGCAAAAGAAGUAGGUAGCUUAACCUUCGGGAGGGCGCUUACCACUUUGUGAUUCAUGACUGGGGUGAAGUCGUAACAAGGUAACCGUAGGGGAACCUGCGGUUGGAUCACCUCCUUACCUUAAAGAAGC
rnacentral:rRNA from 1 species